AACCACUUAAUUAUAGGCAAAUAAUUAUAAAAACUUAUGAAAUUUAAAAUCUAACAAAUUUAAAUAUUUAAAUCAUAUUUAAUUUUGUCGAUCGUUGAUUUGAAUGUCUUAUUACCGAAAAAAAAAAGGGCAUGUUUGGUUCAUUAUUGAAAUAGGAAUGGAAAAUAGAAUUGGAUUGAUUUGGAAUGAAAAAUGAAAUGACGAAUCAUCCAAAAAUAUUUGAUUCAUUAUUGGAAUGGAAAUCAGAAUAAAAAUUUAUAAUUUUUGAAAGAGGGUUUUGAUUAAGAGAGAGGAAAGUGAUGAAGAUGAUGAGGUAGAUGUUAGUGAAAGAGAAUUUGGAAUAGUUUACUUUGGAGUGGUCAAUCCGGGAUUCAAAGUCGGAUAGGGUGUAGUGUCUCUGGUGUUCUGCAGCCCGUGGGUUUCAGCAUAUGAGGCUUGUCGACACAUCUGGAGAGUGUCGAGACAAGUCGAAGUCGUUUUGGGCAAAUUGGACGCAAAACAUAUGCAGUGCGAUGCGAGAGGAGAGUUUUGACAUUGGAAUAUGCAAAGUGUAAGAUUUCAGUAUAUAUUGAGUACCGGUACCAGAGAGAGGAGUACUGGU
rnacentral:lncRNA from 1 species